rnacentral:lncRNA from 1 species
UUUUUAGGGCCGCACCCAAGGCAUAUGGAGAUUCCCAGGCUAGGGGUCGAGUCAGAGCUUUAGCUGCUGACCUGUGCCACAGCCACAGCAACAUGGGAUCUGAGCCGUGUUUGUGACCUACACCAUAGCUCACAGUAGUGCCAGAUCCUUAACCCACUGAGCAAGGCCAAAGAUGGAACCUGCAACCUUAUGGUUACUAGUUGGAUUUGUUUCCGUUGCGCCACAAUGAGAACUCCCCCAAUUUUUUUUUUUUUUUUAAAUACUACUUUUAGUUAAAGCUGUUGUUAAAUCCAAGACUCUGUCAUUCAUUGUCUCUAAGUUCCAAGUUUUGUUUUCCAAGGCAGGAACGGUCUCCUGUAUCCUUUAUCCCUAGUGUCUUAGUGCUUUUGUGCACAUCAAAUAGUUUGUCUCUUUGUUUUUUUCUUUUUAGGGCUGCUCCUGUGGCAGGCAUAUAGAAGUUUCCAGGAUAGGGGUUGAAUUGGGCCUAUAGCUGUCAGCCUACAGCACAGCCACAGCAGCGCAGGGUCCAAGCUGCGUCUGCAAUCUACACCACAGCUCACCCACAGCUCACCGCAACGCCAGCUCCUUAACCCACUGAAUGAGGCUAGGGAUCGACCCCGCAUCCUUAUGGAUACUAGUCGAAUUCUUAACCCGCUGAGCCACAGUGGGAACUGUUUUUAUGAUGAAUAAGUUACUUUCUUCUGGGGAUGCUCUUCUGUGAACAAAAUGUCUUCUGAAGGACCAUUUCUGUGGAAUUUCAUAGCAUCACAGCUGACAGAAUCUUUGGAUACCUGGGCUGGUUUCAGUGGACCUGGAGACUCUGUGAAAUUGUGUGCAGAAUUUUGACUGCUCAUGUGCCUUUUUGGAGAGCAGAGUCUCCAGCUUUCAUCAGUUUCCUAAAAAGGUCUGUGACGCAAAGUUAAGAACCCUGUCUACAUAUUACUGCUUUUCAUUCUUACUGGCUUUUACAGAAAGCCAAACUCCCUGUGCUUCCUCCUCUUCUACACCCACAAACGUUUCUCUAUCUGUUCCCACUCUUAGCCCCUUUCCUUCUUUUUCUCAGAGGAAGAACGACCUUCCUCCUGACUGUGAUCUCAGUCCCAUUCCUUCUCUUCUGGGAUCUUGGGAUCUUACUUCAUUGAUUGAUCUAUUCAUUUGUAGUCUUUUGUCUUUUCCUCUCAUCUUUAACCUCUCACUUAACACUUGGCUCCUUCCCUUCAGCCUAUAAAUAUACGGAAGCUCCUCCCAUCGUAAGAAAAGUGUCUUCCCAUUCUGAAACACUGAUCUUGUAUUAGAAUCUGUUUGUUCUUGUGUGCUCUCGUUCUCUUCCUCUCAUAGAUCCUAGAAAGUAGAGCCUAAGUUUCCUUUGUCUUCUUUCCUACCUUUGCUCACUCCUCAGUCCAUUGCUUCCGCCCCAUCAAGCCCUUGAAAAACAACUGUCUCCGAGGCCACCAGUGAGUUCUGAUUUCAGACUGAAAAGUGCCCACUGUAUAUACAGCAUCUUUCUCUGCAACAUUGGACACCAUGGACCGUUAUCUUUAUCAAACUCCCUCCCUUUUUAGCUUCUAUGGUGUCAUUUCCUUCUAGCUUCCUAACUGUUCCUUCUUUUUCUCUCUCUUCCUCCUGGUGUGGGUGUUCCUGAUACCUGUCAUUAGCCUUCACCUCAUUUCACAUACACUUGCUGAAUAAUCUCAUCUGUGCUCAGGGCUUCAGCUAUCAUGGCUGGGAGGUGAUGGCUCCCUAGCCUGUGUCUCUGGCCCUGACUCCUCUCUGCUCCACGUCCCAUUGAUUUCCCGCCCCCAGACAGCUAUAACUUAGUAUGUCCAAAACCAUACUCCUUGUUUCAGCCUGUUCCAGAAAUACUCCCUGCUUCAGAAUGUCCACCUCUAAGAGGGUCAUUCAGUCCUGUUGUUUCCGACUUCCUCCUUUCCAUUCACGUUGUUUCAGUCUUUGUUCAGGUUCUUACUGUCUUUUGCUAAGACUACUGCAGUAGUCUAACUUGUCCACCUGCCUUCAGUCUCUUCUCCCUCCAGUUCAUCCUUCUGUAGUCUCUGAUGGAAUGAUCAUUCUAAAACACUGAUCUAAUUGAGUCCUUUUCCCCAUUUAAAAUUUUUCGUUGGCUUUUCUUAUCCACAGGGUAAAAUCCAAACGUCCUUUGUAUAUCAAGCCCUGCCUGCCUUUUUAGCCCCACUUCCUGUGCCUUCCAGGUUUUUGCUCUCCUCCUUAGCUGUGCUGAAUGACUUGUACUCUGCUGAAUACACAGUGCUUUUUCACUUCCACACCUUUGUACACACUGCGUUUCUCUGAGAAAUGCCCACUCUGCAUUGUUCUUCCUUCCCCUUUUUCUGCCUGGUUAACUUCUGUUCCCAGGCUAGGGGUUGAAUGGGAGCUGCAGCUGCUGGCCUGCGCCACAGCCACAGCAACUCGGGUUCCGAGCUGCAUCUGCAACCCAUACCACAGUUCACGGCAAAGCUGGAUCCUUAACACACUGAGCGAGGCCAGUGAUCAAACCCGUGUCCUCAUGGAUGCUAGUUGGGUUCACUAACCUCUGAGUCACGAUGGGAACUCCUGUACGUAUAUUUUGAUGUGAAAUUAAUUUUUCUUCCUUGAAUUGAGGUGGGGAUGAUGAGAAACUGAAAAGGGGGAAUCCAGAAGGAAAUAUGCUGCACAGCACAGCCCUAAAUGAAAAUCCACAGGUCUGGUGUCUUUGAAAGGUGGUCGGUGUGUUCUGAAUUGCAGAUAGAGUGUUAAUAGUUAUAUUCUGGUUCAGAAAAAGGUUUUAAUGUUUCUUUUUUUCCUUAGGCUAUUUAAUGUUCAUUAUAAAAACUAAUGUUUAAUGUAGAUAUUUCUGUAAAUGACAUGUACUUUAAUUGAUUUUUCUUGGAGUUAUGUCUUUUUUUGUGAAGGAAUAGUGCUCUGUUAUUCCUUUCUUUUCAGAGGACUUUCGCUUUUAGUGAUUAAAGUAGCUGUAGGAUUUUUUUCUUUUUAAGGACCUUGGGUUAUGAUGUCUCAAUUUAUUCAUAGAUUGGAACUUGUGGCUUUUAACUCAGGUCAGGCAUGAAAUGCAUCACAGGGCUGGCCAGUCUUGUCACUGAAUCUCCUUUAUAAAAAACAAACCCAGCAGGAAUCGUUAGAAGAAGUUUCUAAUAAUUUCUUUUUUUUUUUUUUUUUUUUUUUGGCUUUUUGCUAUUUCUUGGGCCGCUCCCUCGGCAUAUGGAGGUUCCCAGGCUAGGGGUCCAGUCGGAGCUAUAGCCACUGGCCUACGCCAGAGCCACAGCAACGCGGGAUCCAAGCCGUGUCUGCAACCUACACCACAGCUCAGGGCAACGCCGGAUCGUUAACCCACUGAGCAAGGGCAGGGACCGAACCCGCAACCUUAUGGUUCCUAGUCAGAUUCGUUAACCACUGCUCUAAGACGGGAACUCCCCUGAUAAUUUCUUGUUUAAGAAAUCUGUGACAGAAGCAAGAAGGCUGUUUUUAGUUUUUUUUUCUUUUUUUUUUUUUUUUUUAAUUGAGGUGUACUUGACAUACAGCAUUUCGUUAGUUUCAGGUAUACAACAUAAUCACUUGAUAUUUCUGUACAUUAGGAAAUUAUCACCUCAAUAAAUUUCAUUAACAUUCAUCACCAUACAUAGUUACAGUUUUUUUUUUUUUUUCUUAAAAUUGUAAAGAGUUGUCAUUCUUAGUUUAUUGGAUUUCCUUUCUUAUUUGGAGAAUCAAUCUUUCUUUCUUUAGUCACGUCUUUUUACGGCUACAUCUUCAGCGUAUGGAAGUGCCCAGGCUAGGGGUUGAAUCAGAGCUGCCGGCCUACACCACAGCCACAGCAACACAAGCUGAGUUUGCAACCUACACUACAGCUCACAGCAAUGGUGGAUCUCCAACCGACUGAGUGAAGCCAGGGAUCGAAUCCGCAUCCUCAUGGAUACUAGUUGGAUUCGUUUCCGUUGUGACAUUGCCAUGACGGGAACUCCCAAACUUUCAUUUUUGAAUUGAACAUGUUAGCAAAAGCAUUGAUAUGAGUUUUCUUCCCAUGGUUCUUUGCUUACUUUUUUCUUCAAGGAGACAAAGGGAAGUCCUGGAAGAUGCAUUUCCUGUUUUAAAAAAGACAGCUUCCUCAUUUGUCGGUUCUCUGAGCUCUAGUCUCUAAUGUAACUCCUAUAUUAUAGCUAUUUUUCCAAUGAUCUUAAGGUUAUAAAAUGAUCAUUUGCAUAAGUAUCCUCAUCUCUUUGUAAGCUGCUUGAUUUUUUUUUUUUUUUAAGUAUUUUUUUAAGCUGCUUGAGGCUGGCAUGCAGCAUCCUUCAGCAUAAGUGCUUUUCCGUACUUAUUUGACAAGUGAAUGAAUCUGAACUCCACCAUCAACUGCCCUGUCUAUAUUCUUCCGUACUAGUAAGCUGACAGACUCUUCUUCACAGACUGGUUUCCUCACCCUUUUCCCUGACUUGCUCAUUCCCAUCUCUGUGCCUUUGCAGUGAUUAUUUUCUUUUCUCCUACUGAAAUUUACCCCUGUUUCGUGCCCUGGUUGAUGUCCUUUUUGUCAUGAAACCAGCUGACUACUUUAGUCCUUAUUAAUCUCUUCUAUUUUUAGGCUAUUGUAUUCAGUAACCAUUAACACUUAACUGAUUGGCUAUUUCUUUGUUUCAUUUAUGUUAUUUUGCCUCCUUGUUAGACUUUAGAUUUUCUGGGUAUAGGGACAAGGUUUCAACCUUUUGGAACAUGUAAGAUGCUCAGUAUAUCAAUAUAUCAAUAAAGAUGUAUUGAGCACAUUUAUUAACGAGAUCUGUUGAGAGGGUGAGAGAUGCAUAGAAGGCAGAUUUCUGCUUUCAAGGAGCUUUCAAUCCAGUAAUUUCUAACAAAUAGCUAUUUGGGUUUUAAAUUUAAUUUUAAAAUAUUAAUUUUUAAGUAAUUAUCUCUUGAGCACUUAAAGACAUUUUCCCCUCCUAUUUGAGUGAUAAGAUAGCCUUUAAACAUCCCUCUAUGAAAUGAUUCUGGGAAAAUGGCAGCUUGAGCACAUCUCUUCUGUCCUCUCUUUUUUUAAACUCAGUUCAAGUAAAAUAACAGUUUCAAAGCUUAGAACAAAAAUACCAAGAGUUGGAAUGGAAACUCAUGAAAGUUGGGCUUGCAGGAUAGAUCCAGGAAACCAAAAGUGCAAAUAAUAAUAAUUUUAGAAGGAGAAAUAAGUAAUAGAAAAAAUUUCCCUGAGUCGAACAAAAAUUGCAGACUGAAUGAGUUCACUGGGUUCCAGACAAAAUUGAUGAGAAAAGUCACAAAGCUAGGCAUGUUCUGAUAAAAUUCCUGAAUUCAGUGAUAAAGGAAAAAAAAUCCCACAAGCUCCUUGAUAGAAAGAUAAAGAUGUAAAGAGGAUUUCCCAUCGUGGCUCAGUGGUGACAAACCUGACUAGUGUCCCUGAGGACAUGGAUUCUAUCCCUGGCCUCACUCAGUGGGUUAAGGAUCCGGCGUUUCCGCGAGCUGUGGUGUAGGUCGCAGACAGGGGUCGGAUCUUGUGGUGCUGUGGUGGCUGUAGUGUAGGCUGACAGCUAUGCUCUGAUUCGACCCCUAGUGUGGUAACUUCCAUAUGCCGUGGGUGUGGCCCUAAAAAGACAGGGAAAAAAAAAAAA